rnacentral:rRNA from 1 species
AGCGAGCGAACUCUCGUUAAGGAACUCGGCAAAAUGACCCCGUAACUUCGGGAGAAGGGGUGCUCUUUAGGGUUAACGCCCAGAAGAGCCGCCGUGAAUAGGCCCAAGCGACUGUUUAUCAAAAACACAGGUCUCUGCUAAACCGUAAGGUGAUGUAUAGGGGCUGACGCCUGCCCGGUGCUGGAAGGUUAAGAGGAGUGGUUAGCUGCUGCGAAGCUACGAAUCGAAGCCCCAGUAGACGGCGGCCGUAACUAUAACGGUCCUAAGGUAGCGAAAUUCCUUGUCGGGUAAGUUCCGACCCGCACGAAAGGCGUAACGAUUUGGGCACUGUCUCA